GGCGGCGUGCUUAACACAUGCAAGUCAAGGGGGCCCAGCAAUGGGCAACCGGCGAACGGGUGCGUAACACGUGAGCAACCUACCGAACUGUGGGGGAUAGCCGGCCUAACGGCCGAGUAAUACCGCAUACGCUUUCAGUGAGGCAUUUCAUUGAAAGGAAACCUACGGGACAGAUCGAGGGGCUCGCGGCCUAUCAGCUAGUUGGCGAGGUAACGGCUCACCAAGGCAACGACGGGUAGCUGGUCUGAGAGGAUGGCCAGCCACAUUGGGACUGAGAUACGGCCCAGACUCCUACGGGAGGCAGCAGUGGGGAAUCUUGCGCAAUGGCCUAACGGCUGACGCAGCGACGCCGCGUGUGGGAUGAAGCUCUUCGGAGUGUAAACCACUGUUGCCCGGGACGAACAGCUCGAUUAAUCGAGCCUGACGGUACCGGGUGAGGAAGCACCGGCUAACUCCGUGCCAGCAGCCGCGGUAAUACGGGGGGUGCGAGCGUUGUCCGGAAUCACUGGGCGUAAAGGGCGCGUAGGUGGUUUGAUAAGGGUGUGGUGAAAGUCCGGGGCUCAACCCGGGAUCUGCCGUGCCGACUGUCAAACUC
rnacentral:rRNA from 1 species